AUGAACGCUGGCGGCGUGCCUAAUACCUGCAAGUCGCGCGAACAGACGAGGAGCUUGCUCCUCUGACGUUAGCGGCGGACGGGUGAGUAACACGUGGAUAACCUACCUAUAAGACUGGGAUAACUUCGGGAAACCGGAGCUAAUACCGGAUAAUAUAUUGAACCGCAUGGUUCAAUAGUGAAAGACGGUUUUGCUGUCACUUAUAGAUGGAUCCGCGCCGCAUUAGCUAGUUGGUAAGGUAACGGCUUACCAAGGCGACAAUGCGUAGCCGACCUGAGAGGGUGAUCGGCCACACUGGAACUGAGACACGGUCCAGACUCCUACGGGAGGCAGCAGUAGGGAAUCUUCCGCAAUGGGCGAAAGCCUGACGGAGCAACGCCGCGUGAGUGAUGAAGGUCUUCGGAUCGUAAAACUCUGUUAUUAGGGAAGAACAAAUGUGUAAGUAACUAUGCACGUCUUGACGGUACCUAAUCAGAAAGCCACGGCUAACUACGUG
rnacentral:rRNA from 1 species